CCUAGGGAGGCAGCAGUAGGGAAGUGUCGUCAAGGGGCGCAAGCCGGAACGAGCAAGGCCGCGUGAACGAGGAAGGUCUUCGGAUCGUAAAGUUCUGUUGAAGGGGAAAAAGAGCGGAGAGAGGAAAUGCUUUCUGAUUGAUAUUACCCUUCGAGGAAGUCACGGCUAACUACGUGCCAGCAGCCGCGGUAAUACGUAGGUGGCGAGCGUUAUCCGAAAUGAUUGGGCGUAAAGGGUGCGUAGGCGGCCUGCUAAGUCUGGAGUGAAAGGUACCGGCUCAACCGGUACAGGCUCUGGAAACUGGCGGGCUAGAGAGUGCGAGAGGUAUGCGGAAUGCGUGGUGUAGCGGUGAAAUGCAUAGAUAUCACGCAGAACCCCGAUUGCGAAGGCAGCAUACCGGUGCACAACUGACGCUCAGGCACGAAAGCGUGGGUAUCGAACAGGAUUAGAUACCCUAGUAGUC
rnacentral:rRNA from 1 species